UUCCGGUUGAUCCCGCCGGACCGGACUGCUAUCGGAGUGGGCCUAAGCCAUGCGAGUCGAACGCCUCGAGCUGGCGAGGCGUGGCGUACGGCUCAGUAGCACGUGGUCAACCUACCCUGCGGACGGCUAUAACCCCGGGAAACUGGGGCUAAUAGCCGAUAGGAGAUUGAUGCUGGAAGGCUCUUUCUCCUAAAGGCCUAACCAUCCAUGCUAUGGUUAGGCGCCGCAGGAUGGGACUGCGCCCCAUCAGGUUGACGGUGGGGUAACGGCCCACCGUGCCUAUAACGGGUGCGGGCCCUGAGAGGGGGAGCCCGGAGAUGGCCACUGAGACAAGGGGCCAGGCCCUACGGGGCGCAGCAGGCGCGAAACCUCCGCUAUGCGCGAAAGCGUGACGGGGUCACUCCGAGUGCCGCCUGCUGAGGGCGGCUUUUGCCUAGUCCAAAAGGCUAGGCGAAUAAGGGGAGGGCAAGUUUGGUGUCAGCCGCCGCGGUAACACCAACUCCCCGAGUGGUCCGGACGAUUAUUGGGCUUAAAGCGUCCGUAGCCGGCCUAGUAAGUCUCCGGUUAAAUCCGGCGUCUCAAGCGUCGGGCUGCCGGAGAUACUGCUGGGCUAGGGAGCGGGAGAGGCGGGCGGUAUUCCCUGGGUAGGGGUAAAAUCCUAAGAUCCAGGGAGGACCAUCGGUGGCGAAGGCGGCCCGCUAGAACGCGUCCGACGGUGAGGGACGAAAGCUGGGGGAGCGAUCCGGAUUAAAUACCCGGGUAGUCCCAGCCGUAAACGAUGCAGGCUAGGUGUGUGGGCGUCUUAGAGGCGCCCAUGUGCCGAAGGGAAACCGUUAAGCCUGCCGCCUGGGGAGUACGGCCGCAAGGCUGAAACUUAAAGGAAUUGGCGGGGGAGCACCACAAGGGGUGGAGCCUGCGGUUCAAUUGGAGUCAACGCCGGG
rnacentral:rRNA from 1 species